CCUACGGGAUGCUGCAGUGGGGAAUAUUGGACAAUGGGCGAAAGCCUGAUCCAGCCAUGCCGCGUGUGUGAAGAAGGCCUUCGGGUUGUAAAGCACUUUCAGUGGGGAAGAAAGCCUUGGGGCUAAUACCCUCGAGGAAGGACAUCACCCACAGAAGAAGCACCGGCUAACUCCGUGCCAGCAGCCGCGGUAAUACGGCGGGUGCGAGCGUUAAUCGGAAUUACUGGGCGUAAAGCGCGCGUAGGCGGUCUGAUAAGCCGGUUGUGAAAGCCCCGGGCUCAACCUGGGAACGGCAUCCGGAACUGUCAGGCUAGAGUGCAGGAGAGGAAGGUAGAAUUCCCGGUGUAGCGGUGAAAUGCGUAGAGAUCGGGAGGAAUACCAGUGGCGAAGGCGGCCUUCUGGACUGACACUGACGCUGAGGUGCGAAAGCGUGGGUAGCAAACAGGAUUAGAUACCCCAGUAGUC
rnacentral:rRNA from 1 species